rnacentral:rRNA from 1 species
UAGAGUUUGAUCCUGGCUCAGGAUGAACGCUAGCGACAGGCCUAACACAUGCAAGUCGAGGGGCAUCGGGGCUAGGAGCAAUCCUUGCCGCCGGCGACCGGCGCACGGGUGAGUAACGCGUAUGCGACCUGCCCGUUGCAGGGGGAUAAUCGGGAGAAAUCCCGUCUAAUACCGCGUAAUGCCGCGGGGCUGCAUGGCCCUGCGGCCAAAGGGAGCGAUUCCGGCAACGGAUGGGCAUGCGUGACAUUAGCUAGUUGGCGGGGCAACGGCCCACCAAGGCGACGAUGUCUAGGGGUUCUGAGAGGAAGGUCCCCCACACUGGUACUGAGACACGGACCAGACUCCUACGGGAGGCAGCAGUGAGGAAUAUUGGUCAAUGGGCGCGAGCCUGAACCAGCCAAGUCGCGUGAGGGAUGACGGCCCUACGGGUUGUAAACCUCUUUAGGCGGGGAGCAAUGCCGGGCACGUGUGCCCGGAGGGAGAGUACCCGCAGAAUAAGCAUCGGCUAACUCCGUGCCAGCAGCCGCGGUAAUACGGAGGAUGCGAGCGUUAUCCGGAUUUAUUGGGUUUAAAGGGUGCGUAGGCGGGAUGCCAAGUCAGCGGUAAAAAUGCGGUGCUCAACGCCGUCGAGCCGUUGAAACUGGCGUUCUUGAGUGGGCGAGAAGUAUGCGGAAUGCGUGGUGUAGCGGUGAAAUGCUUAGAUAUUGCGCAGAACUCCGAUUGCGAAGGCAGCCUACCGGCUUCUGUCUGACGCUGAGGCACGAAAGCGUGGGGAUCGAACAGGAUUAGAUACCCUGGUA